UACGUAGGGGGCGAGCGUUGUCCGGAUUUAUUGGGCGUAAAGAGCGUGUAGGCGGUUCGGUAAGUCUGUCGUGAAAUCCUGAGGCUCAACCUCGGGCGUGCGAUGGAUACUGCCGGGCUAGAGGAUGGUAGAGGCGAGUGGAAUUCCCGGUGUAGCGGUGAAAUGCGCAGAUAUCGGGAGGAGCACCAGUAGCGAAGGCGGCUCGCUGGGCCAUUCCUGACGCUGAGACGCGAAAGCUAGGGGAGCGAACAGG
rnacentral:rRNA from 1 species